rnacentral:rRNA from 1 species
AGAUGGCGACCGGCGCACGGGUGAGUAACACGUAUCCAACCUGCCGAUAACUCGGGGAUAGCCUUUCGAAAGAAAGAUUAAUACCCGAUGGCAUAAUAGAAUCGCAUGGUUUGAUUAUUAAAGAAUUUCGGUUAUCGAUGGGGAUGCGUUCCAUUAGUUUGUUGGCGGGGUAACGGCCCACCAAGACUACGAUGGAUAGGGGUUCUGAGAGGAAGGUCCCCCACAUUGGAACUGAGACACGGUCCAA